CAGGUGUCAUUGCUGCCCUAGGCGUGUGAAGGAACAGAGUCAAGCGGGUAUCCUCCUGGCAGCCUGUUGAGUCGCAUCAAGAUUUCAGGUACCGUGAGGAGGCGCAUAGCUGAAGUUUGGAAACGGCAGCACCGAAGCGGAUGUAGAGAACAUGUCGCCGUCCACGUCUGGCUGACGAUGGAUUUUGUCCGGUCGUCUUGCAAAAGCUAAGUGUCGGGGCCAGUAGGUGGGAGAAGGGGAAAAACCUUUACUAUCACAGGAGACAAUUAGAUGUUAGCUUAGAGGAGAGGCCCAUAGUGGGACGGGCCCCUCGGAAGCAGAGGGAGAGGGUUUCUCCUCAGCCUCACCAGAGUCUUCGCCGGGCAGGGCAGUUCCGAUCCGUCUUCGCGUCCUCGCGAGGUUUGCGUCGGCGGC